GACAGAGGAUGCAAGCGUUAUCCGGAAUGAUUGGGCGUAAAGCGUCUGUAGGUGGCUUUUUAAGUCCGCCGUCAAAUCCCAGGGCUCAACCCUGGACAGGCGGUGGAAACUACCAAGCUGGAGUACGGUAGGGGCAGAGGGAAUUUCCGGUGGAGCGGUGAAAUGCGCAGAUAUCAGGAGGAACACCGGUGGCGAAGGCGGGUCUCUGGGCCGAUACUGACGCUGAGGAGCGAAAGCGUGGGGAGCGAACAGG
rnacentral:rRNA from 1 species